UUGAACGCUGGCGGCGUGCUUAACACAUGCAAGUCGCACGCGAAAGGGGCUUCGGCCCUGAGUAAAGUGGUGCACGGGUGAGUAACGCGUGGAUAAUCUGCCCUUAUGAUCGGGAUAACAGUUGGAAACGGCUGCUAUUACCGGAUACGCUCAAGAUGAACUUUUUGAGGAAAGAUGGCCUCUGCUUGCAUGCUAUCGCGUAAGGAUGAUUCCGCGUCCCAUUAGCUUGUUGGCGGGGUAACGGCCCACCAAGGCAACGAUGGGUAGCCGAUUUGAGAGGAUGAUCGGCCACACUGGAACUGAAACACGGUCCAGACUCCUACGGGAGGCAGCAGUGGGGAAUAUUGCGCAAUGGGCGAAAGCCUGACGCAGCGACGCCGCGUGAGGGAUGAAGGUGUUCGGAUCGUAAACCUCUGUCAGAAGGGAAGAAACUACAUUGUGCUAAUCAGCAGUGUACUGACGGUACCUUCAAAGGAAGCACCGGCUAACUCCGUG
rnacentral:rRNA from 1 species